GUUCCAAAUCUAUGAAGAAAAUAUAUAGUAACUGAGCCAACGCCCAGAAUGUCUAUAAUUUUGUUGUUUUUAGUUACACUGAUCAUGAAAUCUUGACAAAUUAAAACAAUCCAAAAUGGAAGUGAACAGUACCCAUUUCUACCUCUGUUUGCUUCUCCUCCUUUUAUCAUCUAUUCAUUCUUUUGUUGCGAGCUUCAAUGAAGAAUUGACAGCACAAGACAUCAAAAGAUCAAAAUUCCCACAUGGUUUCUUCUUUGGAACAUCCACUUCUUCAUACCAAAUUGAAGGAGCAUUUUUUGAAGAUGGUACGAGUCUCAGCAACUGGGAUAAUUUCACUCACAUUCAAGAUGGCCAAAGAAAUGGAGCAAAUGGAGAUGUUGCUAAUGAUCAUUAUCGCCGCUACUUGGAAGACAUUGAGAUAACGCACUCUUUAGGGGUUAAUGCUUACAGAUUCUCAAUCUCAUGGGCCAGAGUUCUACCUAGAGGUAGAUUUGGUGAAGUCAAUCCAACUGGUGUCAUGUUCUACAACAAAAUCAUCGACAAUCUUUUGUUCAAAGGAAUUGAGCCAUUUGUGACAAUAAAUCAUAACGACUUCCCCCAAGAACUCGAGGAUAGAUAUGGGUCUUGGCUUAGUCCUCUAAUGCAGGAAGAUUUUGUACAUUUUGCUGAAACUUGUUUUAAGAACUUUGGGGAUCGAGUGAAGUACUGGAUCACAAUCAAUGAGCCUAACUUAUUCGUAGAAUUGGCCUACAUAGAGGGGAUAUUUCCAACGUCUCAUUGUUCUGAACCUUAUGGAAACUGUUCCGUUAGCAAUUCUAACAUGGAGCAACUCAUUGCAAUGCACAACAUGUUACUGUCACAUGCCAAGGCUACCAAUCUCUACCGCGAGUGCUUUCAGGUAGCCCCUGUAUAUAGUAUUAUAUUUGAUAAUUUGAUUAAUGAAAGUGAUGUUGUUGCAGCCAAAACAAGGUGGAUUUAUAGGAAUUGUGGCAUGUGCAUUCAUGUACGAGCCAAUGACAGAUGAUGAACUUGACAGGGAAGCUGCAAGUCGGGCCUUGGCUUUUGAUCUGGCCUGGGUAUUUGAUCCCCUAGUAUGUGGAGAUUACCCUCCAGAAAUGCGGCAUUACCAUGGAAACAAAUUACCUACCUUCUCUCCUGAAGAAGUGAACUAUAUAAAGGGCAGUAUCGACUUCAUCGGCAUUAAUCAUUAC